UCGUUUGACGUUAGCUGCAGAAGAAGCACCGGCUAACUCCGUGCCAGCAGCCGCGGUAAUACGGAGGGUGCGAGCGUUAAUCGGAAUUACUGGGCGUAAAGCGCAUGCAGGUGGUUCGUUAAGUCAGAUGUGAAAGCCCGGGGCUCAACCUCGGAACUGCAUUUGAAACUGGCGGACUAGAGUACUGUAGAGGGGGGUAGAAUUUCAGGUGUAGCGGUGAAAUGCGUAGAGAUCUGAAGGAAUACCGGUGGCGAAGGCGGCCCCCUGGACAGAUACUGACACUCAGAUGCGAAAGCGUGGGGAGCAAACAGGAUUAGAUACCCUGGUAGUCCACGCCGUAAACGAUGUCUACUUGGAGGUUGUGGCCUUGAGCCGUGGCUUUCGGAGCUAACGCGUUAAGUAGACCGCCUGGGGAGUACGGUCGCAAGAUUAAAACUCAAAUGAAUUGACGGGGGCCCGCACAAGCGGUGGAGCAUGUGGUUUAAUUCGAUGCAACGCGAAGAACCUUACCUACUCUUGACAUCCAGAGAAGCCAGCGGAGACGCAGGUGUGCCUUCGGGAGCUCUGAGACAGGUGCUGCAUGGCUGUCGUCAGCUCGUGUUGUGAAAUGUUGGGUUAAGUCCCGCAACGAGCGCAACCCUUAUCCUUGUUUGCCAGCGAGUAAUGUCGGGAACUCCAGGGAGACUGCCGGUGAUAAACCGGAGGAAGGUGGGGACGACGUCAAGUCAUCAUGGCCCUUACGAGUAGGGCUACACACGUGCUACAAUGGCGCAUACAGAGGGCAGCCAACUUGCGAAAGUGAGCGAAUCCCAAAAAGUGCGUCGUAGUCCGGAUUGGAGUCUGCAACUCGACUCCAUGAAGUCGGAAUCGCUAGUAAUCGUAGAUCAGAAUGCUACGGUGAAUACGUUCCCGGGCCUUGUACACACCGCCCGUCACACCAUGGGAGUGGGCUGCAAAAGAAGUGGGUAGUUUAACCUUCGGGAGGACGCUCACCACUUUGUGGUUCAUGACUGGGGUGAAGUCGUAACAAGGUAGCCCUAGGGGAACCUGGGGCUGGAUCACCUCCUUAUACGAA
rnacentral:rRNA from 1 species